rnacentral:rRNA from 1 species
GUGGGGAAUAUUGGGCAAUGGGCGCAAGCCUGACCCAGCCAUGCCGCGUGAGUGAUGAAGGCCUUCGGGUCGUAAAGCUCUGUGGGGAGGGAAGAACGUCUGGGUGGUUAAUACCCAUCUGGGGUGACGGUACCUCCUUAGCAAGCACCGGCUAACUCCGUGCCAGCAGCCGCGGUAAUACGGAGGGUGCAAACGUUGCUCGGAAUCAUUGGGCGUAAAGCGCACGUAGGCGGCGCGAAAAGUCAGGUGUGAAAGCCCUCGGCUUAACCGAGGAAGUGCACUUGAAACUUUCGGGCUUGAGUACAGAAGAGGGUCUCGGAAUUCCCGGUGUAGAGGUGAAAUUCGUAGAUAUCGGGAGGAACACCAGAGGCGAAGGCGGAGACCUGGGCUGAUACUGACGCUGAGGUGCGAAAGCGUGGGGAGCAAACAGGAUUAGAUACCCCAGUAGUCC